rnacentral:rRNA from 1 species
UACGUAGGGUGCAAGCGUUAAUCGGAAUUACUGGGCGAAAAGCGUGCGCAGGCGGUUUUGUAAGUCUGUCGUGAAAGCCCCGGGCUCAACCUGGGAAUUGCGAUGGAGACUGCAAGGCUUGAAUCUGGCAGAGGGGGGUAGAAUUCCACGUGUAGCAGUGAAAUGCGUAGAGAUGUGGAGGAACACCGAUGGCGAAGGCAGCCCCCUGGGUCAAGAUUGACGCUCAUGCACGAAAGCGUGGGGAGCAAACAGG